AAUAUACAUUAUUACCUCAGAUUAAACAGAUUCAUUUGUUUACAUUUUUAAAUGUGAGCAACAUUGAUUCACAGUCUGUAUAAAAGUAGGUACUCACGAGGCUGCUUUGCCGGCUCAAUAUUCAAUUUGCUAUAUAUGAAGAAGAAAAUAUGAAGAAAAGGGUAGCCAUCAGAGUAUUUAGUGUUAUCUUGUUCAGUUUGUAGUAAGCGACAAGUAAAUGUCAAUAAAAUAAAUGCGUUGAAAUUUUAAAUUAAAAAAAUUAUAAGAAGUUAAGGUGGUAAUUACAAGAAAACUUAAUGAAAAAUUCAUCAUAACAACACCGUUAAAGAGGGGAAAUGCGGAAUAGUAUCAUUGUAGUAAGGGGAAAUGUAAACAAGGCGCAGUCGUAGGACCCGGUGUUUCGACAUUUUGAGUGAUUAUUUUCAUUUUUGGGUAAUUUACGUCAAAGAGUGAUUAAAUAGAGUUCAUCAAGGAUUUAAAACGAGAAGAAAUGGUGCGAAAUUGGUUUAUGUGUGGGAAAAAUAAGAUCAAUUUCCCCAACCACUCUUUGCACAACAUCCCUAGGAAAGCAAUUCGAAGAGGCGAAUGGAUAAGAGCUCUUGGAUUGAAAUUAUAUGAGGUUUCAGUGAAAAAUCUACUUAUUUGCUCUGACCAUUUUAAAGAACAUCACUUUUAUUAUGG